rnacentral:RNase_P_RNA from 1 species
CAAGCGGGUCGGACGACCGCGGGCAUAAGGCGAAAGCCUGUGCGUGAGGAAAGUCCGGGCUCCAUAGGGCAAGGAUAACGGGUAACACCCGCCAGGGGUAACCCUCGGACAAGUGCAACAGAGAUAUACCGCCGGUGCUUUCGGCAUCGGUAAGGGUGGAAAAGUGAGGUAAGAGCUCACUCAUCGCAUGGAGACAUGUUGAUGCUGUAAACUCUAUCCGGAGCAA